rfam:Beta vulgaris subsp. vulgaris 0051.scaffold00187.con0006.1, whole genome shotgun sequence.
UUCUCAUUAGAGACCUAUAAUAAAAUUAGAAUGAUAUAGAGAAGUUUAACAUGGUUGCACAAGAAUGAUACACAAAAGUCAAGAAAAUGAUGAUCCAAUAGUUUU